GACGAACGCUGGCGGUGUGCUUAACACAUGCAAGUCGAACGGAAAGGCCUCUUUCGGGGGGUACUCGAGUGGCGAACGGGUGAGUAACACGUGAGUAACCUGCCCUUGACUUUGGGAUAACUUCUGGAAACUGGGGCUAAUACCGGAUAGGAGCUCCUGCCGCCUGGUGGGGGCUGGAAAGUUUCGGCGGUUGGGGAUGAACUGGCGGCUUAUCGGCUUGUUCGUGGGGUAGUGGCUUACCAAGGCCUUGGCGGGGAGCCGUCCAGUGGGGGUGACCGACGAUAUUGACCCUUACGUCCGGCCCAGAUUCCUACUGGUGGCAGAUGUGGGGAAUAUUGCUCAAUCGGUAGCGGCCUGAUGAAGCAGCGCUGCGGGCGGGAUAACGGUCUUCGGGUUAUAGACCGCUAUCACUCAAGACGAAGCUUUGUGUGACGGUAGUGGAUGAAGAAGCACCGGCUAACUACGUG
rnacentral:rRNA from 1 species